AAAUUAGAAUCCAAGGAAGUUGACAUGUCAUCACUUCAUUUUUUUGCGCCUGCGCAUAAAUCUGAGAAACGUGAGUUUUGUCUUCAUUGUUUAUCUCGACAUAGGAUAGGUUGUGUGAAAAUAUUACUGAUGUUUAACGUUAAAAAUGGACCAAAAGAUUAAUGCUAAACAACAUUUGACAUGUUUGAACGAACAUAAAUAGAUUAUUUACUCGUUUUUUUUUAGCUUUUCGGCGUGAUUUUACAGUCCCCCACCACGUUUUGUGGGAGCAUAAUGAACGCUAAGUACUUGGUGUUAUUUGGACAUAAAUUAUGAACUUUGUCAAAAGAAACCACAUUUGUUCCGGACCUGGGAUGCCUUCCGGACCUGGGAUGCCUGUCUUCUGAUGGAGAUAAUCAAAGGACCUGAGCCCUAGGACCAUGCCUCAGGACUACCUGGUAUGAUGACUUCUUGCUGUCCCCAGUCCACCUGGCCGUGCUGCUGCUCCAGUUUCAACUGUUCUGCCUGCGGCUAUGGAACCCUGACCUGUUCACCGGACGUGCUUGUUGCACCCUCGACAACUACUAUGAUUAUUAUUAUUUGACCAUGCUGGUCAUUUAUGAACAUUUUAACAUUUUAACAUCUUGACCAUGUUCUGUUAUAAUAUCCACCCUGCACAGCCAGAAGAGGACUGGCCACCCCUCAUAGCCUGGUUCCGCUCUAGGUUUCUUCCUAGGUUUUUGGCCUUUCUAGGGAGUUUUUCCUAGGGAGUUUUUCCUAGCCACCGUGCUUCUUUCACAUGCUUUGCUUGCUGUUUGGGGUUUUAGGCUGGGUUUCUGUACAGCACUUUGAGAAUAUCAGCUGAUGUACGAAGGGCUAUAUAAAAAUAAAUUUGAUUUGGAGUUUUUCUUUGCACUUGCAAUAUAGUCUUGCAAAACUCUGCAUGCAGUACUUCGAUUGGCUGUUUGUCUCAUUUGGUAAAUUCAUUAUUAGAGAAUGGACCCCAUACUUCGCUGCCAUAUAGACCAAUUGGUUCUAUAACUGAUCUGAAAAUUUAGCCAGAUUUUAAUUGGAAUUUUAAUUUUAAUGUUCCUUUUAAUGGCAUAGAAUGCUCUUCUUGCUUUGUCUCUCAGAUCGUACACAGCCAUGUGAAAGCUACCUGUGUUGCUGCUAUUUAGUCCUAGAUACGUGUGUAGUUUUUAGCAUGUUCUGAUAGAACUGUGUCCAAAUAUAAUUUAUAUUAGUGAUCCUGAUUUCCCGACCUCUUUUGGAAUAUCAUUACAUUCGUUAUUUUUUAGGUUAACGGUCAGACCCCAGGUCCGACAGAACCUGUGCAGAUGAUCUAGAUGCUGCUUUAAUCCCUCCUUAGUGGGAAACGGCAGCACCAGGUCAUCUGCGUACAGCAGACACUUGAUUUCAGUGUUGUCGGUUGAGACCAGGUGCUGCAGAUUCUUCAAAUGUUUUUGCCAAUUCAUUCAUGUAGAUGUUAAAUAGUGUUGGACUUAUUGAGCAGCCCUGUUUCACUCCACGUCUCAGAGAUGUUUGCUAGUUGCCCAUUUUAACUGCACAUUUGUUUAUAGUGUACAUUGAUUUAAUUACAUACGUUUUCCCUCCAAUACUACUUUCUAUUAGUUUAUUUUAAAAAAGACCUUUGUGCCAAAUUGAAUCAAAUGCUUUCUUGAAGUCUACAAAACAUGAGUAGAUUUUGCCUUUGUUUUGGUUUAGUGUGUUUGUCAAUUAUAGUGUGUUGGGUAUAUAUGUGGUCUGUUGUCCGGUAAUUUGUUACAAAUCCAAUUUGGCUUCUGCUCAGGACGUUGUGUUCAUCAAGGAAAUGACAUAGUCUGCUAUUUAUGAUAUUGCAGAGAAUUUUCCCCAAGUUGCUGUUAAUGCAACUUCCUCUUUAAUUAUUUCGGUCAAAUUUGUCUCGAUUUUUAUAGAUUGGUGUGAUCAAUCCUUGGGUCCAAAUAUCGGGGAAAAUACCUGCAGUGCAGGAUAAUGUUGAAAAGUUUGAGUGUAGCCAAUUUGAAUUUGUGGUCUGUAAAUUUAAUAAUUUCAUUUGAAAUACCAUCAGCACCACAGGCCUUUUUGGGUUGUAGAGUGUAUUGUUUUUCUAAUAAUUCUUAUUCUGAUUCAAGGAUUUGUAAUUUUUCUUGUAUAUCUUGUUGUUCUGGGCUCUUUGUUAUAUUGCUGUAGAGGUUUGCAAAGUGAUUUCUCCACAUAUCACCAUUAUGGAUAGCCAAUUCCUCAUGUGGUUCGUUUAAUUUAUUCCAAUUCUCCCAGAAGUGGUUUGACUCUAUGGAUUCCUCAAUUACAUCCAGCUAAUUUCUAAUGUGCUGUUUCUUUUUUGUUCUUAGGGUGUGAUUGUAUUGCUUCAGUGUUUCCCCAUAUUGAAAGAGUGUAUUUUUGUCUGGUUCUCUGUUUUUGAUUAGAUACAUUUCUCAAUGACUUCCUUAGAUUGUUGUUAUCAUUAUCAGACCAUUUUUCAUGAUCUAUUAUUUUUGGUUUGCUCUUAUGUUUUUUAGAUUAGCCAAGGAGGCUAAUUUGUCAAAUAUAAAGUUUCUGUUCCAAACGUCCAAAUUUACAUCUUCAUUGCUGUAGGAGAAUGUUAAGGCUAAAAAGUUAUCCAGGAGAGAUUGUAUUUGUUGGCUACUAAUUGCUUUUUGGUAGAUUUCUGUAAUGUUUACACUCCGUCUGUAAGCCUGUUUAGUAGCAUGUAAUUUAUUGGGCCGUGAUGCUUCAUGGUUAGGUUCCGCUCUCCUCAGAUAAACUGUGAUUUUACUGUGGUCUGAGAGAGGUGUUAGUGGGCUGAAUGUGAAGGCUCUGAGAGACUCUGGGUUGAGGUCGGUGAGUCUGCCUGUCGCUCUCACUCUCGCUCUCUUUUGGUCUGCCUAGCUCUCUCUCUUCAUCUCUUUCGAUCUGCCCAUCUCAUGCUCUCUCUCUCUUUGUCUGCCUAUAUAUAUAUAUCUCUUCAGUCUGCCACUCAAUCUCUUUCGGUCUGCCCAUCUCUCUCUCUCACUCUUUCAGUCUGCAUAUCUCUCGCUCUCUCAAAUGGCUUUAUUGGCAUGGGAAACGUGUUUACAUUGCCAAAGCAAGUGAAAUAGAUUAUGAACAAAAGUGAAAAACAAUAAAAAAUGUACAGUUAACAUUACACUCACAGAAGUUCCAAAGAAAUAGAGACAUAUCAAAUGUCAUUAUGGCUAUAUAUAUAGCGUAACGAUGUACAAAGGGAAAAUAAAUAUGGGUUGUAUUUACAAUGGUGUGUGUACUUCACUGGUUGCCCUUUUCUUGUGGCAACAGGUCACAAAUCUUGUUGCUGUAAUGACACUGGUCAUUCACCCAAUAGAUAUAGGAGUUUAUCAAAAUUGGAUUGGUUUUCAAAUUCUUUGUGGAUCUGUGUAAUCCGAGGGAAAAUAUGUGUCUCUAAAAUGGUCAUACAUUUUGCAGGAGGUUAGCAAGUGCAGCUCAUUUUGUGGGCAGUGUGCACAUAGCCUGUCUUGUCUUGAGAGCCAGGUCUGCCUAUGGCAGACUCUCUCAAUAGCAAGGCUAUACUCACUGAGUCUGUACACAGGCAAAGCUUUCCUUAAGUUUGGGUCAGUCACAGUGGUCAGGUAUUCUGCCACUGUGUACUCUCUGUUUAAGGCCAAAUAGCAUUCUAGUUUGCUCAGUUUUUUUUGUUACUUGACACAUUGGAAAGAAUUCUCUUUGUUUUCUCAUGAUUUGGUUGGCUCUAAUUGUGUUGCUGUCCUGGGGCUCUGUUUGUGAACAGAGAGAGCUUGCUUAGGGGACUCUUCUCCAGGUUAAUCUCUCUGUAGGUGAUGGCUUUGUUAUGGAAGGUUUGGGAAUCACUUUCGCGAUUGUAGAAUUUAACAGCUCUUUUCUGGAUUUUGAUAAUUAGCGGGCAUCAGCCUAAUUCUGUCUGCAUGCAUUAUUUGGUGUUUUACGUUGUGCACAGAGGAUAUUUUUCCUCACUCUCCCCCUUUCGUUCUGCCCAUCUCUCUCAAUUCAGUAGACUAUUGACAUGGCAAGUUAAAUUACUUACAUUGUCAAAGUAUACAUAUACAACAAUGGUGGGACCAACAGCAAUAUGGCAUCAAUAAUAAUAGUAGUUGUUACGAAUCCCUUUUGCCCUGCAGUCUAGGGGGGGGGGGGGAUGGAAACGAGACCUAUAACAUAUCAUACAAAUCAUAAUAGUGAAAAGGAACAGCGAGAACUAAUAGCCACAGACAACUUAAAUUUACCGUCAAACACUAAUGGUUUGUUUAAACACACAGUAUUUGGGCUGUGGGAAAAAGGGGCUGAGCUGGACCCAGGGAAAGAAAUACAUAUCCAAACAAAUCCAUAAGCUAGUCUAGCCUGCUUUAAGAACAGCUACCUAACUAACCAAAAAUACAGUGGGUGUUCCACCCAGUUCUAACUAGGGUAUUUAGACACUGUUUUCCUACGGGCAAUGUAGUCCCAUGGGCGACUUGGCUGGUUAGCCCCCUUUCCCACCAACAACAACAACAAACAGUCAUACACCAUAACAAUACUCACAGGAUAACGGACAAAGUGACACGUAGGUGCAAAAACAAAAGAGAGAUCUGGUAGAACUGAUUGGGAUACUUUUAAACCAAGGGAAAGGGGAUGUGAUUGGGUAAGGGAAAAGGAGCAGGUGUGUCUUCUGAUUAGCGACUGAUUAGGCAAUGGUGAUUGCCACCUGUGAGUAGGGGAGAAGGAGAGAAAAGAAAUACACACAGGAUACCUGUAUCCGUAACAGUAGUAGUUGAAAUGGUAUUACCAUUAACAGCAACUACAACAACUAUUAAUAAUACAUUAAAGCAAUAGUACUAGGCCAGUCUUAACAUGACUGAAAAUCCGCCUGGUAUGAAAGCCCAAAAAAAAACAAAGCUGGAAAUAUUACUGACAUUACAUUGCACUUUUCACUGGCCAUCCCUCGGGUUGUGGCAACAGGACACAUAUUUGGCUGCCAAACCAAUAAAUAAUUUACAGUUUCAAAUUCUUUGUACUGAAUGCUAAUUUUGUUCUACCUAUCUCUCUCUCUCUCUCUUUCGGUCUGCCCCUCUCUCUCUCUGUCUUUCGGUCUGCCCCUCUUUCUCUCUGUCUUUCGGUCUGCCCCUCUCGCUCCCUCUCUGUCUUUUGGUCGGCCCCUCUCGCUCUCUCUCUGUCUUUCGGUCUGCCCAUCUCGCGCUCUCUCUCUUGUUCUCUCCUUUGUUGUCUCUCUUACACACUCAUUCCCCUCCCUCUCUUGCUCUCUCUCACAUAAGCCUACUCUCAUUUGUUUUCUCUCUCCGUUGUUCUACUCCUCCAUUUCUUUCCCUUUUCCUCCCCCCUUCUCUCCCUUUUGCCCUCUCUCUUUCUGUUCCACUUCUCUCUCUCUCCAUCCUUCUCUCUCCCACUUGGGAUCAGAUGGCCUUGCGGCUCUGAGAGAGCAAGUCAAGAGCCAGUCGCCUACAUCUGGCCUGGCUGUGCUGGAUAGGCCUUGUCGGCCAGUGGCCCCUAAGUACUUAUUGAUUAAAGCCACUGAAGGGGAUGGAGCUCACUUAAAUUGAUGGAGCCCUUUUAAAGGGACAGUGCUCCAAGCCAGUGCCUGGUCCCCUGGAAUUUGAUCCCAACAGAGUCCAGACCUCUCACUGCAGCAAAACUCCCACAUAAGUUUUGUUCAGACAGAAACAUGAGAAGAGGCUGGAGAUGAGGAGACUCAGAAAGAGAGCUGGAGAACAAUGAGAGUUUAACUGGGCUAGCUAUUUUUAACCCGCACUCUUCGCUAUGCUGUGCUGUGCAGUGGACUGAAGCGAAGGAUCAGAGCUAGUCUGUGUGAACAGUGGUGCUGAGGGAACUCCAUGAGCACACACACACACAUACGGUGCCUCUGGGGUGUCUUCAUCUCUUCACCAUCCCCAAUUAGAGCAUGUGUGUUCUAUGUGAUGAGAUAUGAGGCAGAGACAGCUCAGUUCUCCAAACACACAUACACGCACUCACUCACUAUAGCGGAGAAGCCAUGCUCAUUAGUUUAGUAAAGCCCGUGUGUGGAUGUGGAGAAAGCUCUUUUGAUUGGGGUGAAGCUUGAAUAAACCUCCACUUUUAUCUUGGUGGCGUGGUUAUACCUCAUUAUUAGCUGGGUGUGGUCAGACCGGGCAAGAGCUAAUCGAAUAGGGUGACUUCAUUCGAAUUAGGCAUAAUGGUAUUUCAUUGGUUCCCGUCGUUUGAUCAGACAAAGCUUAUUGGGCCAUGGCCUUUGUGUAUGCGUGCGUGCAGGCCCAAUUAGACGACAAACCCAAAGACGAGCUAGCUUGUUUAGCAUUGUGUCCCUAAUUAAAAUGCAGCCUGCAAAAAGUUAGUUGGGCGUGAUGCUACAUCGGUCGGGAAGAAGACGUUUUUGUUUAAACUUGGCCGCCAACAGAAAGUUCGUCUCCCUUUUUUCCCCCCCUUCAGGGCCGGGGAUUGGGUCGUUAAUAAAAUCGGCUUUAUCACUGCGGCACUCAGAGCGGCGUGGAGGUGGAACUUAACGGAUUCCUGUGGCAUGCUGCAUAUCUUGUUAAAAGGCGCUUCAACGUGGGGAGUCAUUUCAGAACAGUUUUAUAUGCAAUUCAUUAUUCAUCAACUGGCAACCAGCCACAGAGCAGUGACUUUAAUAUGUAGUUUACGG
rnacentral:lncRNA from 1 species